CGUAGGUAACCUGCCUGGUAGCGGGGGAUAACUAUUGGAAACGAUAGCUAAUACCGCAUAAGAGUAGAUGUUGCAUGACAUUUGCUUAAAAGGUGCAAUUGCAUCACUACCAGAUGGACCUGCGUUGUAUUGGCUAGUUGGUGGGGUAACGGCUCACCAAGGCGACGAUACAUAGCCGACCUGAGAGGGUGAUCGGCCACACUGGGACUGAGACACGGCCCAG
rnacentral:rRNA from 1 species